rnacentral:rRNA from 1 species
UUAAUUGAAGAGUUUGAUCAUGGCUCAGAUUGAACGCUGGCGGCAGGCUUAACACAUGCAAGUCGAGCGGUAGCACAAGAGAGCUUGCUCUCUGGGUGACGAGCGGCGGACGGGUGAGUAAUGUCUGGGAAACUGCCUGAUGGAGGGGGAUAACUACUGGAAACGGUAGCUAAUACCGCAUAACGUCGCAAGACCAAAGAGGGGGACCUUCGGGCCUCUU